GGGUGAUUUAGCUCAGCUGGGAGAGCACCUCCCUUACAAGGAGGGGGUCGGCGGUUCGAUCCCGUCAUCACCCACCA
rnacentral:tRNA from 1 species